UAGGGAAUCUUCGGCAAUGGACGGAAGUCUGACCGAGCAACGCCGCGUGAGUGAAGAAGGUUUUCGGAUCGUAAAGCUCUGUUGUAAGAGAAGAACGAGUGUGAGAGUGGAAAGUUCACACUGUGACGGUAUCUUACCAGAAAGGGACGGCUAACUACGUGCCAGCAGCCGCGGUAAUACGUAGGUCCCGAGCGUUGUCCGGAUUUAUUGGGCGUAAAGCGAGCGCAGGCGGUUUGAUAAGUCUGAAGUUAAAGGCUGUGGCUCAACCAUAGUUCGCUUUGGAAACUGUCAAACUUGAGUGCAGAAGGGGAGAGUGGAAUUCCAUGUGUAGCGGUGAAAUGCGUAGAUAUAUGGAGGAACACCGGUGGCGAAAGCGGCUCUCUGGCUUGUAACUGACGCUGAGGCUCGAAAGCGUGGGGAGCAAACAGGAUUAGAUACCCUGGUAGUCCACGCCGUAAACGAUGAGUGCUAGGUGUUAGACCCUUUCCGGGGUUUAGUGCCGCAGCUAACGCAUUAAGCACUCCGCCUGGGGAGUACGACCGCAAGGUUG
rnacentral:rRNA from 1 species